UGUCAUGACAUACUCAAACUUGGGGAAAGCAGGAAGAUGGUGUCCACAUCUCAGUUCCUUGGGCUCCUGCUCUUCUGGGUUUCAGCCUCCACAGGUGACAUUGUGCUGACUCAGUCUCCAGCCAUACUCUCUGUGACUCCUGGAGAUAGAGUCACCAUCACCUGCAAGGCCAGCCAAAGUAUUAGCACAAGCUUACACUGGUAUCAGCAAAAGCCAAGCGAGGCUCCAAAGCUCAUCAUCAAGUAUGCUUCCCAGUCCAUUACUGGGAUCCCCUCCAGGUUCAGCGGCAGUGGGUCAGGGACAGAUUUCACUCUCAGCAUCAACAAUCUGGAGCCAGAAGACGUUGCAAUGUAUUUUUGUCAACAGAGUAGCAGCUUACCUCCCACAGUGACACAGACCAUAGCAAAAACCAUCAGGGAAGCAGAAGUGUGA